AUUUGAAAUCUUGUUUAUGAAUUGAACAAAAACAAAGAUAAAAAGGGAAGAAGAAACUCUAGCCGAUUCUGGACUUUCCCGAGGCAUAAACUGCUUGCUCAUUCCUUAAUUCUUCUAUCUUGCCGUCACAACUAAGCCAAAGUUCCCUCAAUAUAGCUGAAAUAUGGCUACUGUCACGACCAUGCAAAGCUCUUUUUCAAGAGGA
rnacentral:lncRNA from 1 species